GUGCUGGAGCUGGCUAGUCAUGCUUCAGUGGUGACGGAGUGUCAGAGUUGCAAAAAUAAAAGCAGGAGUGCUUACGGCAUUGCUUUUUAUACCCACAGCCCUCGGAGUGAUGUUUCCAUCAAGAAAAAGGAUGCUUAUGAAAGAGAGCCCUAACUGCAAUCCUACCCACUUAAGACUGGUCAAUUUUUAAGAAACAUGUAAGAAUGAGUUAGAUAUGAACAAUAGACAGCACAAACAAAUGAACAGAAUUUGGUGAGAACGUCUGGCCUGCCAUCAACAUAUGCAGAAUUCUCAAAGAUUUGAAGCUGGAAACAAGACAUAUGGCCCUUAUUUGAAUUCACUGAGGACUAUGGGAAGACUCCCCACCCCAACCCAGCUGUAUUUUACAAUCAACUUCUGAAAAAGCCAGAAAAAUCCUUCAGAAAUAUAGUUUGAUUUGUGGCUCAUGACCCCAUUUGGCUAGCUCUUGGCAUUAAAGAAUAUGUUUCAAAGUUGUCAAAGCA